rnacentral:rRNA from 1 species
GAUGAACGCUGGCGGCAUGCCUAAUACAUGCAAGUCGAGCGAAUGGAUUAAGAGCUUGCUCUUAUGAAGUUAGCGGCGGACGGGUGAGUAACACGUGGGUAACCUGCCCAUAAGACUGGGAUAACUCCGGGAAACCGGGGCUAAUACCGGAUAACAUUUUGAACCGCAUGGUUCGAAAUUGAAAGGCGGCUUCGGCUGUCACUUAUGGAUGGACCGGCGUCGCAUUAGCUAGUUGGUGAGGUAACGGCUCACCAAGGCAACGAUGCGUAGCCGACCUGAGAGGGUGAUCGGCCACACUGGGACUGAGACACGGCCCAGACUCCUACGGGAGGCAGCAGUAGGGAAUCUUCCGCAAUGGACGAAAGUCUGACGGAGCAACGCCGCGUGAGUGAUGAAGGCUUUCGGGUCGUAAAACUCUGUUGUUAGGGAAGAACAAGUGCUAGUUGAAUAAGCUGGCACCUUGACGGUACCUAACCAGAAGCCACGGCUAACUACGUGCCAGCCGCCGCAGUAA